rnacentral:rRNA from 1 species
AGUAGUUUGAUCAGUGCUACAGAACGACGCUGGGCGGCAUGCCUAACACAUGCAAGUCGAACGAGACCUUCGGGUCUAGUGGCGCACGGGUGCGUAACGCGUGGGAAUCUGCCCUAGGGUGCGGAAUAACUCGGAGAAAUCCGUGCUAAUACCGCAUAAUGUCUUCGGACCAAAGAUUUAUCGCCCUGGGAUGAGCCCGCGUAGGAUUAGCUAGUUGGUGGGGUAAAGGCCUACCAAGGCGACGAUCCUUAGCUGGUCUGAGAGGAUGAUCAGCCACACUGGGACUGAGACACGGCCCAGACUCCUACGGGAGGCAGCAGUGGGGAAUAUUGGACAAUGGGCGAAAGCCUGAUCCAGCAAUGCCGCGUGAGUGAUGAAGGCCCUAGGGUUGUAAAGCUCUUUUACCCGGGAUGAUAAUGACAGUACCGGGAGAAUAAGCUCCGGCUAACUCCGUG